rnacentral:lncRNA from 1 species
UCCAUUAAUUCCUUUACCUUCUUUCAAUCUUAAUCUAAAUUUGCUUUAAUUUAGGGAAAACAAUUAUUUUUUAUGGCCGAUCAUCAGUUCCACUUAUUUUGCAGGUAAUAUUCCAAUCUUAUUCUUUCUGGAAAAAGAAAAAAAGUCAACUUUUUUUUCCAUGUUGCUUUUUAAUUUGAGAUUGGUUUUAUGGUUAAAGUGAAAAGGAAAGGAAGAUUUAGUUUUCACGGAAAAAAGUGUGGAUUCGGUGCAGUUCAGUAGACUGUGAUCGGAUCCACCGCAGGUAAUGGCUUUCUUAAUUGUUUUUUUUUUCAAAAUUAAUUCUUGCUUGGUUGCCGAGAAAACUAUGGAAAUGAAUUUUGAAAUGAGGCCGUUUCUGGUUUUGAUAAAAUAACGAAUUCAAUUUCAGAAUGUGUUAUUUGCAAACUUUUAUCAAAUUGAAAGAAGAUUUUAGAAUAACUUGAACUCAAUUAGCUUAAUUGUUGAAUUGGAAGGAACUUUACUAUCUUGAAUUCGUGUUGAUGAUUUUACUUCAUUUUCUUAAUAGUUUCUUUUUUUUAUCUUUGCAUAAAGGUUCAUGUUCUGUUGUGAUUGGAAUCAAUAGGAGUUCAAUUUGUAAUGCAAUCUGUUGACGAGAGUAAGGAAAAGAAGACGAAUUUGAAACGAUCAAGAUCACUAUCCCUGCACGAUAUGCCCGUGACUGAC